AAACCAGCACCUCAAGUGGUCAGGAUGAUUAUUGGGCCUAAAGCAUCCGUAGCCGGCUCUAUAAGUUUUCGGUUAAAUCUGUACGCUUAACGUACAGGCCGCCGGGAAUACUGCAGAGCUAGGGAGUGGGAGAGGUAGACGGUACUCGGGAGGAAGUGGUAAAAUGCUUUGAUCUCUCGAUGACCACCUGUGGCGAAGGCGGUCUACCAGAACACGUCCGACGGUGAGGGAUGAAAGCUGGGGGAGCAAACCGGAUUAGAUACCCCAGUAGUCC
rnacentral:rRNA from 1 species